rnacentral:rRNA from 1 species
AGGACCGAACCGACUAAUGUUGAAAAAUUAGCGGAUGACCUGUGGCUGGGGGUGAAAGGCCAAUCAAACCGGGAGAUAGCUGGUUCUCCCCGAAAGCUAUUUAGGUAGCGCCUCGUGAAUUCAUCUCCGGGGGUAGAGCACUGUUUCGGCUAGGGGGCCAUCCCGGCUUACCAACCCGAUGCAAACUGCGAAUACCGGAGAAUGUUAUCACGGGAGACACACGGCGGGUGCUAACGUCCGUCGUGAAGAGGGAAACAACCCAGACCGCCAGCUAAGGUCCCAAAGUCAUGGUUAAGUGGGAAACGAUGUGGGAAGGCCCAGACAGCCAGGAUGUUGGCUUAGAAGCAGCCAUCAUUUAAAGAAAGCGUAAUAGCUCACUGGUCGAGUCGGCCUGCGCGGAAGAUGUAACGGGGCUAAACCAUGCACCGAAGCUGCGGCAGCGACACUGUGUGUUGUUGGGUAGGGGAGCGUUCUGUAAGCCUGCGAAGGUGGCCUGUGAGGGUUGCUGGAGGUAUCAGAAGUGCGAAUGCUGACAUAAGUAACGAUAAAGCGGGUGAAAAGCCCGCUCGCCGGAAGACCAAGGGUUCCUGUCCAACGUUAAUCGGGGCAGGGUGAGUCGACCCCUAAGGCGAGGCCGAAAGGCGUAGUCGAUGGGAAACGGGUUAAUAUUCCCGUACUUGGUGUUACUGCGAAGGGGGGACGGAGAAGGCUAUGUUGGCCGGGCGACGGUUGUCCCGGUUUAAGCGUGUAGGCUGGUUUUCCAGGCAAAUCCGGAAAAUCAAGGCUGAGGCGUGAUGACGAGGCACUACGGUGCUGAAGCAACAAAUGCCCUGCUUCCAGGAAAAGCCUCUAAGCAUCAGGUAACAUCAAAUCGUACCCCAAACCGACACAGGUGGUCAGGUAGAGAAUACCAAGGCGCUUGAGAGAACUCGGGUGAAGGAACUAGGCAAAAUGGUGCCGUAACUUCGGGAGAAGGCACGCUGACACGUAGGUGAAGUGAUUUACUCAUGGAGCUGAAGUCAGUCGAAGAUACCAGCUGGCUGCAACUGUUUAUUAAAAACACAGCACUGUGCAAACACGAAAGUGGACGUAUACGGUGUGACGCCUGCCCGGUGCCGGAAGGUUAAUUGAUGGGGUCAGCGCAAGCGAAGCUCCUGAUCGAAGCCCCGGUAAACGGCGGCCGUAACUAUAACGGUCCUAAGGUAGCGAAAUUCCUUGUCGGGUAAGUUCCGACCUGCACGAAUGGCGUAAUGAUGGCCAGGCUGUCUCCACCCGAGACUCAGUGAAAUUGAACUCGCUGUGAAGAUGCAGUGUACCCGCGGCAAGACGGAAAGACCCCGUGAACCUUUACUAUAGCUUGACACUGAACAUUGAGCCUUGAUGUGUAGGAUAGGUGGGAGGCUUUGAAGUGUGGACGCCAGUCUGCAUGGAGCCGACCUUGAAAUACCACCCUUUAAUGUUUGAUGUUCUAACGUGGACCCGUUACCCGGGUUGCGGACAGUGUCUGGUGGGUAGUUUGACUGGGGCGGUCUCCUCCUAAAGAGUAACGGAGGAGCACGAAGGUUGGCUAAUCCUGGUCGGACAUCAGGAGGUUAGUGCAAUGGCAUAAGCCAGCUUGACUGCGAGCGUGACGGCGCGAGCAGGUGCGAAAGCAGGUCAUAGUGAUCCGGUGGUUCUGAAUGGAAGGGCCAUCGCUCAACGGAUAAAAGGUACUCCGGGGAUAACAGGCUGAUACCGCCCAAGAGUUCAUAUCGACGGCGGUGUUUGGCACCUCGAUGUCGGCUCAUCACAUCCUGGGGCUGAAGUAGGUCCCAAGGGUAUGGCUGUUCGCCAUUUAAAGUGGUACGCGAGCUGGGUUUAGAACGUCGUGAGACAGUUCGGUCCCUAUCUGCCGUGGGCGCUGGAGAACUGAGGGGGGCUGCUCCUAGUACGAGAGGACCGGAGUGGACGCAUCACUGGUGUUCGGGUUGUCAUGCCAAUGGCACUGCCCGGUAGCUAAAUGCGGAAGAGAUAAGUGCUGAAAGCAUCUAAGCACGAAACUUGCCCCGA